UUACGACCACACCACGUUGAAACACCGGUUCUCUUACGAUCAUCAAAGUUAAGCAACAUCGAGUCUGGUCAGUACCUAGGUGGGUGACCGUUUGAGAAUACCAUUUGCUGUAAG